UCUCUAUCUCUCUCACUCUCUGUUUUAGAUAGUUUUUUGAUUGCUGGUUUGGAUAGUUGUAACUGUAUAUCUUGCAAAAUUCUGAAAUGUUGAUUUUGUCUUAUAUAGCAUCCAAAGCAAGUGGCAGGUGGUGUACUAUUCAGUACACCUAGACGUUGUUCAGUAUCUUCUCCAGUAGUUGGGAUUGUCAGUUUAAAUAUCUUGGUUAUAAAAGGUGUAUGGAAGGUUAAAAGGAAUAAAAUAAAUAGCUUUAAAAGGAAAUAUAAGAACCAAUUGAUAUGAAGAUGCGUGAAGGGGUUGUUUGGUUUGUGCCCCAACUUGCCCUGCCAAAAUUUUGAUGUGGUAGUGUUGUUUGGAUUAACGUAGCACCUACCAGUUUUUUUGGCAAAAUGGUUGGUUCUAGGUUUGGUUUGUAACCAGUUAACAUGCCACAUAUCAGCAUAGGUCCUUUUUCUUUUUUUUAGUGAAUGAGCAUCUGGGGUCUUAACAUGAAUUAAGAAACCGUAUAACAAAGUGACCUACGAGCCUCCACAAUGCUUCAUCGUUGCUGGCCGUCAGAUUGCAUAGAUCGCAAGCCGUUUCGUGGGCCGCUGCUCCGCAGAACCAUCUAUAUUUGUGGUGGUUGAUCGGGCUAGUACACUGGGCCUGUUUACAUGGUCCAGUCCACACCUCCGCUGGUCCCUAUGUCUUUGUCUUUCCUCUAUCCUUCGACCACAGCCGCCGUUUUCCUCUCCUAUGCCAGGAGCACUCAGCCGCCAUGAAAAACAAAGUUGUGAAAUAAAAUUCCAGAGCGAAGACAGAACCUGGAUCUGUGGCGGACCGAUGAGAUGGGGGAUGCUGCACGACAUUGUGUUUGUGGGUGCUCUGUGGACCUAUUCCACUCCAUGGCGUCGCAGCAAGUGUGGGAUUAUAAUGUACUUUCUCUUAGAAAGGAGAUACAUGUUCAAAAAAAGAUGGUAAAAGUAAAUAAUAAACUACCUUUCUUCUGCAGGUUCUUAAAGAGCCCUUAUGAGAACAUCUAUUUGAGCGAUUCCACAACUCUAAGUAGUGAUUCGGAAUCAAGAUUAGUGUGUGGUCUGAUGGCUCGUUGUGACUGUCUUUGUAUGGGAUAUCGUCUUGAACUUUGACUCAAUAACACGAGAAUGCAGAAACUGAUUCGUAUGUCGCAGGCAUCAUAUAAUCACGGUGAAAAAGCAAAAAAAUAAAUUAGGUAAUUGUAUUCUUACAUCUUUCUGAUACUUUUAGCAAGCAUGUUUGUGUAAGCAUGGACAUAUUUAAGUUUUGUGGUGCUUACCAGAGAUCCACAAUGCCAUUCACGUAGCUAGAUCCAGCAGUCUUAUGUGGAACUUGCAGUACCUCCAUCUCCUUUGCUUGGUUAUAUAUCUAAUUAAAUCGCUCUCUUCUUCGUAAACUCAUAGGUCUUAAUUAUUUCCAUCGGUGGCUGCAAACUGCGGGUAUUUUGAUGUGAUGCCCAUGAAAAAUGGAAAACACUUACACUAGAGUAUAAUUUCUGUUUGCAAACUGUUCGACUUUGAUUAGGUUUAGGUUAUCACUUAUGUGCUUUACUGGCCUAUGUGCAAACACACAAGUGUGCAAAUAUAAGAGCGGAAGCUCUAGGUGAUAAUGUUCUUUUUUUGUCCUUUUGCUGGUUGUAACUCAAGGUUGAGAUAUUGAUCUCUCCUCUCCUAUAAACAUAUUUUUUUAUUGUUCAUGGCUUAUAUUGCAUGCAACCUAUGUGAACAUACAUUCAUUUCUGACUCUUUCCACCCCUUGUUCAUAUCGAGAAAAUAUGGUAUCUUCUUUUGUUAAAAGAGAAAAUACGAACCAUGGAUGCGUAAGUAUACGAGCUAGCUACUUAAUUUUCCGGUUAACAUGACACCCAAGCAUAUUACAGUGAAGCUAGCAGGUGGGCAGCCAAUAUUUUGGCGGAUGAAUUGGUUGCCCUCGGCUUGCCCGUGUAUUGGUGAGAAAUGCAUGGGCAAACGCCGGCUGGGUUGGGCAAGCCAAAUAUUUGGUGUCCAACCAAAUAGCAGCCAAAACUCAUGGGCACGCCAAAUAUGCUUUGGCUCAAAACCAAACACACCCGAACACAUGAAUGAGCCAUUAAACCAUGUAAAUUGUGGUCAGAAUGUAGCCACUAAACAUAAUGAAUAGGAAAUAUUUCAUGUAGUCUAUCUGUUAAAUUUGUUCACAGCUAUGCAAGUACAUGAAUGACAAAAAUAGUAGCUUCACUGAUCCAUCUUGUGUGUGUGUGUGUGUUAUAAAUCAAUUAUCCAGGUGGUUGAAGACUUGGCAACAAACACUUAUCUAUUUGCUAUUAUUAUGUUUACCAUGAUUGUCUUGUUGAUUAUAAAUUCUUCUUUUCUAUCUUUAUCUUAUUUGUCUAAAGAAUCACACAUUACAGGAUGACAAUUGGAAGAAAAGCAUAUCGACUUUCUCUAGCCAUCAAACCUGUGCCUGCUACUCGGAACACUAUGAUGGAUACGUAAGAGUUUCAGAUCUACCCGCUGCUAUUCCAAAUAAUGAAGACCGACCUGCUGGGAAGACGUAUAUCUUAUUAAUUUGUAUAAGUAGUUUCUUGUUCUGCAAUAUUUUUCCUUUUUCUAAUACUUGUUUGUUGCAUUUACAAUUUGCUAGAUUUGAAAGUAACCACCAUGUGAAUUUUCUUGUAUUGCAGACUUUGGCAACUAACCAAAGAGUGCCUAUUGCAGAAAUACCACCGCCGCCGGUUCCACCUUCUCAUUCACUUUCUCCUCGUGGAUCUCCACAACGAUCUAUUAUCCAAAUUCUAGAAAAUAGCGAAGAACCACCAGCUUUGUGUGCUCAACAAGAAAUAAAUCCUAGCUCUCUUCACGUAUCUAUUUCUCAAACUAAUCUCAAAUGAUACAACUAGUGAUGGUCUGUUCGUUUUGAUGUUCACAUACUUGUGACAAUAUGCAUGCUUCUUUGAUGUAUGAUGCUAACCUGUGUGGUGCUGGAUCAUUUGAUUAAUGGGGUUGUGUGAGAUGUGGGAGGGAUCAUAAUAUCUUUUCGUAUGUCCAGUUGUCCAAUUUACAGUUGUUAUGCUGCGCAAAUUUAUACCAAUUUUUGCAUUUCUGGGUUCUCAUUAUUGGAAAUAGGAAAUUCUGUUUAGAACUUUGGUGAUUUGAUGUAACACACUAAUUUGCAUUGCAACAGAGUUGAGUGUAGUUCAUACUUUAUUUCGAAACAAAGAUAAUCACUUCUUUUGUGAUUAUGUGUAGAGUAAAAGUAAUAGCUCACAACUUAAGUUAGAUUCUGGGUUACUAGAGGUGUGAGAAGUACUUAACUUUAGCCUUUUUAUUUCCUGGAAUAGUUUCAAAAAGUUCUUUAUGAACAUACCCUAGAAUAGUUUCAGGCGAUUCAAACUAAUGCAUCACAAAUUAGUGACUCUAUGGCACCUUGAUCCUUUCCUUAUGCUUUCUAUUUUUUCCUUCUUAUUGUCAUGUUCUAGCCUUUGAAAAUUUGCAAAUCUUACUUUCCAGGAAGGCAGGAACAUUGUGUUGCCUCAAGUCUUCGUGUUGCAGACGAUGAAGGGAUGUUUGGGGGAUUAUUUUUCAGCCAGUCACUAUUGAGCAACCAGUUGGGUUCUUGAUGUUAACAUGGUGGUACAUGUUUUGGUGUAACAUUUUGGUGCAUGUAUAGUUAACAUGUUUUGUGAUGUAGAAAACUCUAGUUGACCUACAUCAAUAUAUACGUGCUAAUUAAGAUGUUUACUCAGUUAGAUGUAGCAAACUCUGGCCAGCGUGCCUAUUUUUUGUCAAACAUUUGAUGGCUGGUGAUGUCUUGGCAUCUAUUGUAUGCAUGUGACGAUUGAUAUCUAUCUAUAUAUUUGAUGUUAUUUUCA